rnacentral:rRNA from 1 species
GAUGAACGCUGGCGGCGUGCCUAAUACAUGCAAGUCGAGCGAAUGGAUUAAGAGCUUGCUCUUAUGAAGUUAGCGGCGGACGGGUGAGUAACACGUGGGUAACCUGCCCAUAAGACUGGGAUAACCCCGGGAAACCGGGGCUAAUACCGGAUAACAUUUUGAACCGCAUGGUUCGAAAUUGAAAGGCGGCUUCGGCUGUCACUUAUGGAUGGACCAGCGUCGCAUUAGCUAGUUGGUGAGGUAACGGCACACCAAGGCAACGAUGCGUAGCCGACCUGAGAGGGUGAUCGGCCACACUGGGACUGAGACACGGCCCAGACUCCUACGGGAGGCAGCAGUAGGGAAUCUUCCGCAAUGGACGAAAGUCUGACGGAGCAACGCCGCGUGAGUGAUGAAGGCUUUCGGGUCGUAAAACUCUGUUGUUAGGGAAGAACAAAUGCUAGUUGAAUAAGCUGGCGCCUUGACGGUACCUAACCAGAAAGCCACGGCUAACUACGUGCCAGCCGCCGCUGUAA